UUGGGAAUAUUGCACAAUGGGCGAAAGCCUGAUGCAGCGACGCCGCGUGAGGGAUGACGGCCUUCGGGUUGUAAACCUCUUUCAGCAGGGACGAAGCGCAAGUGACGGUACCUGCAGAAGAAGCACCGGCUAACUACGUGCCAGCAGCCGCGGUAAUACGUAGGGUGCAAGCGUUGUCCGGAAUUACUGGGCGUAAAGAGUUCGUAGGCGGUUUGUCGCGUCGUUUGUGAAAACCAGCAGCUCAACUGCUGGCUUGCAGGCGAUACGGGCAGACUUGAGUACUGCAGGGGAGACUCGAAUUCCUGGUGUAGCGGUGAAAUGCGCAGAUAUCAGGAGGAACACCGGUGGCGAAGGCGGGUCUCUGGGCAGUAACUGACGCUGAGGAACGAAAGCGUGGGUAGCGAACAGG
rnacentral:rRNA from 1 species